AAUUUAGUCUCUAAUGAUUUAUCUUCCAAUAAUUAUAAUAAUUAUAUUUUCGCAAUUAUAAUAAUAUAAUCGCAAAUAUCUUUUCUCUAUUUUCAAGAAAUAAAUUAAACACUAGAUUUUAGAUUCAGAAAAACAAAGAUGAUCCGGAAUAUCAAUAUAUCUCCAAGAGAAAGGAAAAAUUGUAUUAAACAGAUCGAUUGAAAUUGAAACAUAGUGGUAGAUGUCGCACGUGUCGCCCACUCGUGUGUCGCCACCGAAUUACGUAAGAGUCAAAGUCGUUACUCAUUGGCCGAGUCGUUCAUGCAUGAUUCAUCCUUUAAUCCGGCGACCGGCUGUUAAUAACGGCCGAGUUUAUUUUAAAACCAACGUCCUGACACUGGAUCCUACUUGAUCGAAGCGAUUCGAGGGCGAUCGACCUGUGGCAAAAAUUUUCAUCUUUCUAUCUGUCUCUUGAUUCACCUUUUUGUAAAUAGAUGUAAUGUUUUUCUUAGACAUAAAGAUAUUCAAUCAAAAAUCAAGGAAUUUUAUAUUUUUCAAGCAGAUAAAAUCAUAAUUAAACAAAAAUGAAGAAAUGUAGAAAUGGCAAAUCUGAUUACGACAUCAAUAAAAAUUAUAGAAAUCAGGUUCAAUCCAGAUAAUUUUAGUUCGAUCGAGUGAGUUCUUUCGAAACCAUGAAUGUUAAUUAAACAUGUCUAAUUAAUUGCUUGGUAAAACUUUCCCUCUCUGUGAACAGUUUUUCCCAGUUUUUUCGAGGGAGAGGCUUGACGAAGAGAUAGUUCUCAAUAGCCAUGAUCGAUCCACGUGAAAGACGAGCACGAUGAACGGUUUAAUUGGCUUCGACUUGGUUCAAUUUGAUGGGUCUCGAUGUGAUCAAUAAUUAAACGGUGAAUGUUCUGCUUUAAUUUAUAUAUAGCACGUUAUAGUUAUUUAAUAUAGUCUUUCUCUAAUAGAAAUA